rnacentral:misc_RNA from 1 species
UGAUAGUGAGCUACUUGAGUGAUGUUAAAUAUGUUCUGCAGAUAAGGGACUUGAAGUCAGGUUCCUUGUUGCAUCAGCUACCCAUCGAUAUUGGCUCAGUUUAUGGAAUUUCUGCUAGGCGUGAAGAUAGUCUAAUUUUCAUAGGAUUUACUAGCUUUCUUACGCCUGGAAUUAUUUAUCAGUGUAACUUGGAGACAGGGACUCCAGA